UACGUAGGUGGCAAGCGUUGUCCGGAUUUAUUGGGUUUAAAGGGUGCGUAGGCGGCCCUAUAAGUCAGUGCUGAAAUAUCCCGGCUUAACCGGGAGGGUGGCAUUGAUACUGUAGGGCUUGAGUAAAGUUGAGGUUGGCGGAAUUGACGGUGUAGCGGUGAAAUGCUUAGUUAUCGUCAAGAACACCUAUUGCGAAGGCAGCUAACUAAGCUUUAACUGACGCUGAGGCACGAAAGUGUGGGGAUCAAACAGG
rnacentral:rRNA from 1 species